GAUGAACGCUGGCGGCGUGCCUAAUACAUGCAAGUCGAGCGAACAGACGAGGAGCUUGCUCCUCUGACGUUAGCGGCGGACGGGUGAGUAACACGUGGAUAACCUACCUAUAAGACUGGGAUAACUUCGGGAAACCGGAGCUAAUACCGGAUAAUAUAUUGAACCGCAUGGUUCAAUAGUGAAAGACGGUUUUGCUGGCACUUAUAGAUGGAUCCGCGCCGCAUUAGCUAGUUGGUAAGGUAACGGCUUACCAAGGCAACGAUGCGUAGCCGACCUGAGAGAGUGAUCGGCCACACUGGAACUGAGACACGGUCCAGACUCCUACGGGAGGCAGCAGUAGGGAAUCUUCCGCAAUGGGCGAAAGCCUGACGGAGCAACGCCGCGUGAGUGAUGAAGGUCUUCGGAUCGUAAAACUCUGUUAUUAGGGAAGAACAAAUGUGUAAGUAACUAUGCACGUCUUGACGGUACCUAAUCAGAAAGCCACGGCUAACUACGUG
rnacentral:rRNA from 1 species